rnacentral:rRNA from 1 species
GACGAACGCUGGGGGCGUGCCUAAUACAUGCAAGUAGAACGCACAGUUUAUACCGUAGCUUGCUACACCAUAGACUGUGAGUUGCGAACGGGUGAGUAACGCGUAGGUAACCUGCCUGGUAGCGGGGGAUAACUAUUGGAAACGAUAGCUAAUACCGCAUAAUAUUGAUUAUUGCAUGAUAAUUGAUUGAAAGAUGCUAUUGCAUCACUACCAGAUGGACCUGCGUUGUAUUAGCUAGUAGGUGAGGUAACGGCUCACCUAGGCGACGAUACAUAGCCGACCUGAGAGGGUGAUCGGCCACACUGGGACUGAGACACGGCCCAGACUCCUACGGGAGGCAGCAGUAGGGAAUCUUCGGCAAUGGACGAAAGUCUGACCGAGCAACGCCGCGUGAGUGAAGAAGGUUUUCGGAUCGUAAAGCUCUGUUGUAAGAGAAGAACGGGUGUGAGAGUGGAAAGUUCACACUGUGACGGUAUCUUACCAGAAAGGGACGGCUAACUACGUG